AAGAGAACUUGCCCUUCGGGGUAGAUCUCCCACCCUUUGUUUACAUACCUUUGUUGCUUUGGCAGGCCCGCCCUCGGGCCACCGGCCUCGGCUGGUCAGUGUCUGCCAGAGAACCCAAAACUCAUAUUAUCAAUGUCGUCUGAGUACUAUAUAAUAGUUA
rnacentral:misc_RNA from 1 species